CCAAUAGCGUAUAUUAAAGUUGUUGCAGUUAAAAAGCUCGUAGUUGAAUUUCGGGGUUUAUCCGUUGGUCGGGCUUUUUGGUCUGUACUGGCGUGAUGGAUUCCUACCUUCUGAAUAACCAGCAUGUCAUUAAUUUGGUGCGUUGGGGAAGCAGGACUGUUACCUUGAAAAAAUUAGAGUGCUUAAAGCAGGCUAUUGCCUGAAUACAUUAGCAUGGAAUAAUGAAAUAGGACGCAUGGUUCUAUUUUGUUGGUUUCUAGGAUCACCGUAAUGAUUAAUAGGGAUAGUUGGGGACAUUAGUAUUCAAUUGUCAGACGUGAAAUUCUUGGAUUUAUUGAAGGCUAACUUCUGCGAAAGCAUUUGCCAAGGAUGUUUUCAUUAAUCAAGAACGAAAGUUAGGGGACCGAAGACGAUCAGAUACCGUCGUAGUCUUAACCAUAAACUAUGCCGACUAGGGAUCGGACGAUGUUAAUUUUUUAAUGACUCGUUCGGCGCCUUACG
rnacentral:rRNA from 1 species